UACGUAGGGCGCAAGCGUUGUCCGGAAUUAUUGGGCGUAAAGAGCUCGUAGGUGGUUUGUUACGUCUGCUGUGAAAACCUAGGGCUUAACCCUGGGCCUGUAGUGGAUACGGGCAGACUAGAGGUAGGUAGGGGAGAAUGGAAUUCCCGGUGUAGCGGUGAAAUGCGCAGAUAUCGGGAGGAACACCGGUGGCGAAGGCGGUUCUCUGGGCCUUACCUGACACUGAGGAGCGAAAGUGUGGGGAGCGAACAGG
rnacentral:rRNA from 1 species